rnacentral:sRNA from 1 species
CGAUGACGGUCGGUGAGAUGAAGUGGACGUGCGCGUCGACGGCGCCCGCGGUGAGGAACUUGCCGUUGCCCGCGAUGAUCUCGGUCUCGGGCCCGAUGAUCAGGUCGGGGUGGAUCCCGUCCAUGGUUUCCGGGUUCCCGGCCUUGCCGAUGCCGGUGAUCCGGCCGUCCCGGAUGCCUAUGUCGGCCUUGACGAUGCCCCAGUGGUCGAUGAUGACGGCGCCCGUGAUGACGGUGUCGGGGGCGCCUUCGGCGCGGGUGGUGCGCGCCUGGCCCAUCGAUUCG